rnacentral:rRNA from 1 species
CCUACGGGUGGCAGCAGUGAGGAAUAUUGGUCAAUGGACGAGAGUCUGAACCAGCCAAGUAGCGUGAAGGAUGACUGCCCUAUGGGUUGUAAACUUCUUUUAUCUGGGAAUAAAAUGUUCCACGUGUGGGAUUUUGUAUGUACCAUAUGAAUAAGGAUCGGCUAACUCCGUGCCAGCAGCCGCGGUAAUACGGAGGAUCCGAGCGUUAUCCGGAUUUAUUGGGUUUAAAGGGAGCGUAGGGGGAUUGUUAAGUCAGUUGUGAAAGUUUGCGGCUCAACCGUAAAAUUGCAGUUGAAACUGGCAGUCUUGAGUACGCGAGAGGUGGGCGGAAUGCGUGGUGUAGUGGUGAAAUGCUUAGAUAUCACGAAGAACUCCGAUUGCGAAGGCAGCUCACCGGACUGCAACUGACACUGAGGCACGAAAGUGUGGGUAUCGAACAGGAUUAGAUACCCGUGUAGUC